GACUCCAUGAAGCUGGAUUCGCUAGUAAUCGCGCAUCAGCCACGGCGCGGUGAAUACGUUCCCGGGCCUUGUACACACCGCCCGUCAAGCCAUGGAAGCCGGGAGUGCCUGAAGUGCGUGAGCGGCAAGCAGCGCCCUAAGGUAAAACCGGUGACUGGGGCUAAGUCGUAACAAGGUAAC
rnacentral:rRNA from 1 species